GACGAACGCUGGCGGCGUGCUUAACACAUGCAAGUCGAACGGAAAGGCCUGCUUUCCCUUGUGGAUUGCGGGUACUCGAGUGGCGAACGGGUGAGUAACACGUGAGUGAUCUGCCCCCAACUUGGGUAUAAGCCUGGGAAACUGGGUCUAAUUCCCGAUAGGACUGCAGGGUGGUGCCUGUGGUGGAAAACGAUUUUCUAGUGGUUGGGGAUGAGCUCGCGGCCUAUCAGCUUGUUGGUGGGGUAAUGGCCUACCAAGGCGGCGACGGGUAGCCGGCCUGAGAGGGUGGACGGGCAAAUUGGGACUGAGAUACGGCCCAGACUCCUACGGGAGGCAGCAGUGGGGAAUAUUGCACAAUGGGCGGAAGCCUGAUGCAGCGACGCCGCGGGGGGGAUGACGGCCUUCGGGUUGUAAACUCCUUUCGACCGCGAGGAAGCCACCUGGUUGGAAGGGUGGUGACGGUAGUGGUAGAAGAAGCACCGGCUAACUACGUG
rnacentral:rRNA from 1 species